ACAAGAUUAUCCCCUGCACCUACCCACCCUCCCACAUCGGUGGACAUAAGACUGGAGAAAUGAAUGCAGCAGAUGGAACAGAUAGAAAAAAAUGAUUAAAAGCAUGGAAUGUAAUAUUGUGCUUGGUUAUUUUCCUGUGUCACAACAAAACAAAACAUUUUGAUGCAAAUAGUUAAUGCUUCCUCUUUUCCAUUUAAGUCUGGUAGAGGGAAAAAAAAAACUUUUUCUGUAAUAAAAUAUGUGGUUUUCUGGUCUUUUAAUUUUUUUUAAC